rnacentral:lncRNA from 1 species
CAGGAGUGUUCUAAUUUUUUUUUUUUGAGGGGGGCACGAGGGCUACUGUUUCAAAACUGCCAUUUACUUGUCUUAUUUGACUUCCAAAAUACUAUUACGUUAAUGUGCAAAUAAUCAGAACAUACACACUACAGUAUGUAUAAAGUAUAGAGGAAUUUACAUUUAAUUGCUAUAACAGAUCUAGAAGUAAAGUAAGAUUCCUCUUUUUAGAAAGUAAACAAUGAAUCUGUCACCAAGUUCUAACUGUAAAAUGGGGACAUUUUACCUUUCUUUCUUUGGAUAGGAUCAGUUCUUAAGAGCAGCCCCGGUAACUGGAGGAAUGGGAGCCGUUUUGAUGAGAAAAAUGGGCUGGAGAGAAGGAGAAGGAUUAGGAAAAAACAAAGAAGGCAAUAAGGAACCCAUCCUAGUUGAUUUUAAGACAGACCGAAAAGGUCUUGUUGCAGUAGGAGAAAGAGCACAAAAGAGGUCUGGGAACUUCUCUGCUGCAAUGAAAGAUCUGUCAGGCAAACAUCCUGUGUCUGCUUUGAUGGAGAUCUGUAAUAAAAGAAGGUGGCAACCACCUGAAUUUCUAUUGGUCCAUGAUAGUGGCCCUGAUCAUCGCAAACAUUUUCUCUUUAGGGUAUUGAGAAAUGGAGCCCUUACCAGACCCAAUUGUAUGUUUUUCUUGAAUAGGUAUUGAUAAAUGGAAGCGCUUACCAGCCCAGCUUUGCCAGCCCUAAUAAGAAGCAUGCUAAAGCCACAGCAGCUACUGUGGUUCUUCAAGCAAUGGGC